CUUGGUCAUUUAGAGGAAGUAAAAGUCGUAACAAGGUUUCCGUAGGUGAACCUGCGGAAGGAUCAUUCACAAACGAGUGUUUUAUGGCACUCUUUAAAAAUCCAUAUCCACCUUGUGUGCAAUGUUUGUUGGGAAAGUCUUUUCUUUCCCUUCAUAAAUAUCAACCCAUAUCUUUAACAACAUUCGUCUGAUAACAUAUUAUGAAUAUACUUAAUUCAAAAUAUAACUUUCAACAACGGAUCUCUUGGCUCUCGCAUCGAUGAAGAACGCAGCGAAAUGCGAUACGUAAUGUGAAUUGCAGAAUUCAGUGAAUCAUCGAAUCUUUGAACGCAUAUUGCGCUCUUUGGUAUUCCGAAGAGCAUGCUUGUUUGAGUAUCAGUAAACACCUCAACCUCUCUUUUUUGAUAAAAAAAAGGGAGGGUGGACUUGAGCUAUCCCAACGACCUUCACCGGUAGGCGGGCGGCUUGAAAUGCAGGUGCAGCUGGACUUUUAUCUGAGCUAAAAGCAUAUCUAUUUAGUCCUCGUCAAACAGGACUAUUACUUUUGCUGCAGCUAACAUAAAGGAUAAUUGUCCUCUUUGCUGACUGAUGCAGGAUUUUACGACACUUUAUGUGUUGUUCAACUCGAUCUCAAAUCAAGUAAGACUACCCGCUGAACUUAAGCAUAUCAAUAAGCGGAGGGAAAGAAACUAACAAGGAUUCCCCUAGUAACGGCGAGUGAAGCGGGAUGAGCUCAAAUUUGAAAUCUGGCUGGUUUACUAGUCCGAGUUGUAAUUUAAAGAAGCGUUUUCGGUGGCAGCCUGGGUAUAAAUCCUUUGGAAUAGGGUAUCAUAGAGGGUGAGAAUCCCGUCUUUGACCUAGUGCAUGCUACUAUGUGAUACGUUUUCAAAGAGUCGAGUUGUUUGGGAAU
rnacentral:sRNA from 1 species